AAACCGACACAGGUGGGUGAGGAGAGUAUCCUAAGGCCAGCGAGAGAACUGUUGUUAAGGAACUCGGCAAAAUGACCCCGUAACUUAGGGAUAAGGGGUGCCACCAUUAGGUGGCCGCAGAGAAUAGGCCCAAGCGACUGUUUACCAAAAACAUAGGUUUCUGCUAAGUCGCAAGACGAUGUAUAGGAGCUGACGCCUGCCCGGUGCUGGAAGGUUAAGGGGAUCUGUUAGAG
rnacentral:rRNA from 1 species